CCCAGCCAGCGGUGGAGGAGGGGGACGGUUACGCCCCCCCACACACACACAGAGUGACGGCAACUACACACCCACCCCCGCGCGAUCACUUUCGCCCAGGGACCCCCCAGCUCGGCUUCACUCGGGUUACCUUGACCCACUCCUACAAACGCAUGUCCUUCUUCCCUCCCCUCAAUUUUUUAAUUCUUUUUAACUACUAUAGGGGGGUUUCAGGGGACGUACAAAAUGAAGUGGGGUUCCAAAAAAAGGGGGUGAGGGGCAGGGAAUUGGAGCCCCCUGUGUUUUUGUAUACCCCUCUCUUCCUGCAAGGGGGAAAAGCCGCCCCCUUACACAAAAAAAUGAUACUCUUCUCUGCUGGGUAUUUAAAUGAGCCAUAACCAGUGGACUUUAGUUAAAAAGGAAAAAAAUGUUUGCAGACCCAUCCUGGGCUCGGUUGGUUUCAGAAGUAAGGCGCAAUCCUAAACACGCUUUACUCCCGUUCAGUUUAGAGAGGUUUGCAGCACGGUCCUGACCGUGCUUACUCAGAAGUAAAUCCUAUGGAAUUAAAUGGGAUUUUACUCCCUUGUCAGGAAGGGUUAAGCUUGCAGCUUUGCUUCCCAGUAAAGGGAGGGGCUUUUGUUCUGCAAGUCCCACUAUGGCUUUCAGUGGGACUUACUCCUAUCUAAGUUUGCAUAGGAUAGGUGCUUGGCAGGCAGAUCAUCUGCAUGUUUCUACAAGACUUGAAGUCUCAAAGUGAGGCUUCCUUGCCAAGUACAUGCACUCAGAAUUGCAGACAUAAUCCCACAGUACUGUACUUAUACCUGAAAAACUCAAGCACAUUCCCCAACAUGUUACUCACUUCACAGGGGAAGGUGGUAGGGACACAGUCUGCUGGCAUUUGUGCAUCUUGCAUGUGCAUUAUAAUCAAGAAAAUAUAUCCAACCUUUUACUUCUAGUUGUGGGAAUGGGCUGAAACUAACUAGAAUAAUUCUGCUGCAGGGUAUGUGUUGGAAACCAGAUUUUUAAAAGACAUCCCCCAAAGUCAAAAUGGGCAGAGUUUUACAGGUGACAGAGACAAGAACAUGAGAUUGUUCCUAGAGCAUGCACAAGUGUUGUCUCCCUCUCCUUGCUCUCCAAACUCGCAUAAAAAAUAAUUAUCUCUUCCCUUGCUUUGAUUUAUCUCUUCAGACUCUUAAAGGCUACUUGUGUGUUUGGUGCAAGCAACUGCCUCCUGUCACACCUGCAUUGAUUAUUGAGAGGCGCCCCAACUCUAAACCUCCAGCACCUAUGAUUUUAAUCGGAUUUCCUCAGCUUUCUUGCUUUCGUUACAGUGGUUAUGGGGAACCUGUGGCCCUCCAGAUGUUGCUAAACUACAACUCCCAUCAGCCUCUGCAUGCAUGGCCAGUGGAUACUCGCCUCUCGGUCUCUUGACAGCCAUGUGUAUUAGCCUUAUGGAGCUCGAAAUGGCGUACAUGGUUCUCCCAUCCUCAUUUAAUCCAUACAGCAACCUUGUGAAUAUUAAUUCAGUUUGGAGUCGCAGAUGAUUUUCCUGCUAAUGAAGAAACUCUGCAUGCGGUCAUCGGGAAAGGUGAAGCCGCCUUUGCUAGAAGGCCUCAGGCAGAAUACAGCGUGAUUAUUCAUGAAGACCUCUAUGCCUGCAAAUACCCUUCUUGCCUUCUCUCCAGCAGGUCUCUUUCACCCCAUCUCUUGCCAAUUGCAUUUUUGUUUUAACAUGAACAAAAAAUAAAU